UUUUGGAUAGAAAAAAGUCGUAACAAGGUUUCGGUAGGUGAACCUGCGGAAGGAUCAUUACCGAGUGGGGGGUCCUCGUGGCCCAACCUCCCACCCGUGACUAUUGUACCUUGUUGCUUGGGCGGGGCCCGCCAGCCCUGCUGGCCCGCCGGGGGGCGUCUCGCCCCCGGGCCCCGUGCCCGCGGGAGACCCCAACAUGAACCCCUGUUCUGAAAGCUUGCAGUCUGAGUGUGAUUCUUUGCAAUCAGUUAAAACUUUCAACAAUGGUUCUCUUGGUUCCGGCAUCGAUGAAGAACGCAGCGAAAUGCGAUAACUAAUGUGAAUUGCAGAAUUCAGUGAAUCAUCGAGUCUUUGAACGCACAUUGCGCCCCCUGGUAUUCCGGGGGGCAUGCCUGUCCGAGCGUCAUUGCUGCCCUCAAGCCCGGCUUGUGUGUUGGGUCCUCGUCCCCCGGCUCCGGGGGACGGGCCCGAAAGGCAGCGGCGGCACCGCGUCCGGUCCUCGAGCGUAUGGGGCUUUGUCUUCCGCUCUGCAGGCCCGGCCGGCGCCCGCCGGCGCAAUUUUUUGCAACCUUUUAUUUUCCAGGUUGACCUCGGAUCAGUGGGUCCAC
rnacentral:rRNA from 1 species